CAAAAAUCAUAAUGGGCUAUUGGGAAAACAAAGAAUCUUAUUCUUGGAUUAAAUUUUCAGAAACCAGCCAUCAGGAAUUGGGGCUUCCGAAUGCUUAUCUGCCAUAUUUGAGAAUGAUUCUUUCCUUAAAAAAUGCUCUCAGAAAUCUCUCCUUUCUAUUUCCUCUCUGUUUGAGGGUCCUAAUCCUAAAUUUUCAGAGGCAACAAGGCAUUAAUGGGACAGUUCUAACCCUAAACUUUUUACUUUCUUUCUACUUCCUCUCUAUAACAUCAAAAAUCAUAAUGGGUUAUUGGGAAAACAAAGAAUCUUACCCUUGGAUUAAAUUUUUAUUAGAUUUGAACAAAUCUCCAUUGAAGAUGCACAGCAUCACAUGCUAUUAUGAGCAGAGAUGAUACUGAAUGCGUUUGAACCUUUGAACCGUAACAUAAGAGAAGGGGGGGUGUGUUGAGGAUGUGGAUGGAAAAAGUUACCAAUGUUUAGUCGAGAAUCAUGGUAAAAGGCCUGUUGUAUAAACUUUAUAUGUUGAAUCCAAAUUCCUAGGCUAUGGUAUGAAUUAUGUUGCCUCUAUAAUGAUGAGGAUAAUGGGGGUGACAAUGUACAUACAGAGCAGUUUGGUAAUCAGAGUUCAAAACUUGUUUACUGGAAAUAGGGUAUAAUAUAUGUUUGGUUCGAUUUUGUAACAAGAGCAUGCAAAUUCCAUUCUGGUUUCCUUUUGUGUAUGUACAUUUUGUGAGACUGCAACAACAAGAAUCGAAGAUUACAUAUUUGUAGGAAAAUGGAAAAUAAAUUUUCUUGAAUUUCUAAAGAACUGAAAUUGCUGAAUAAUUUUUGGAACAUUAUUUAAUGUAGGGCUGGAAAUCAAUGAGAGGCCGCAGAAGCAUCCGUCACUGGAUUUUGAGAACCUGUCAAUGUCUGAUUCAGCUGCAAAGGGUAAAAAAACGUUGCUCUUAUUUCUCUAGUAUUGUCUUUUAUGCAUAUGUGUGUGUACAAACACAGCCUUUUUGUUUUUUCUGUUUGAUAGUAAUAAUUUUUUGUUGUGGUGAACAAAGAAUUAUGAGUUGUUCGAUAAUUUGAUGUUAUAAUUAGACUAUAUUGCUAAUGAGUUAUGAUUUGGUAAGUCACCAGCCUUUUGGAGGAUAAGUAUGCAGAAUCUGAUUAGCUGGUGAUAUCAAAGGUUUCAUUUAUUAGCAAUCUACUUUGUUGCUUUUUUUCUUCUUUUUCCAUUUAUGGUUGUUUGCACUCACCUAGUGAAGGAAUUUGUAGUUUUGCAGAUUUCAUAAGUAGAUGGAAAGUUUUAGAAGCCCUGGAAUAUUCAGUGCUGAUUUCUUAUAUUUAUAAUGCAGCAGAAGAAUCGAAGACCAAGAAGGUUUUUGUACAGCAUGUAGAGACAGUAAGCAGCUUUGACACCACUGUUGAUGUUGUGAAAUCAUUUGUGGUGAAUAUGGCAGUCCCCUGUUGAUUUUGUUCUAUAACUCUUCUUGUUUUAUAAGCUGUUUCACACGAGCAUGUGUUGAGGAGUACCAUGUAAGAUGCUGUCUUUGAUUCUCAUGUUGCUACUACUAAGAACUUGGGGAAAUUGUCUAAUUGUUUCUUUUAGGACCUUAAUUCUGAUGGUGUGUGUGUGUGAUCAUAAAACAAGGAGUGAAGAACGCAACCUUACUUUUAAAUAGGAGAAUGUAUGCUCUACGUCUCCUUCUCCUCCAGGUCUUACACACUUUAUUACAACUUUGCUUCUAUUUACAAGCCUAAGAUGACAUGAACUUGUACUUUCAUCACCAUUGUAACAGCGGAAACAAGAUCAGAUAAUGUCUAAAGCCAGACAGACACAGGAGGUACGUGGCAUAGUAUAAGUUAGCUGUAUUAAUUAACCCACCAAGUAAAGUAUUGUUAUCUCUUGUUCAUGUGCUUCCAAUAGUAUGAUUUGUUAUUUCAUCUCGUAGAGAAUAAUGAUGCAUUAAACUUUUUCAUGCUCUGCCUUCUUUUUGUUUUGCUUAUCGUCCAUUUGUUCUUAGUUCAAUAUUUUGCUUGUGAUAAUAAUCAUUGUCAGGCAGUGAGUUGCUAAGAAUUUGUGUCAAAUUGAGAUUAUGCAACUCCAAAUUUUAUACUAGUUCGCAUGAAAUUUUUUUAUUGAUUCAUCUUCUAACAACCAUGGAGUACUCUAAAUUUUGUCUAUUUCGAAACCAUUAUUUAGGAUAAAUUCAAAUCUCCCUUACAUGCAUCUAGUUAGAUAUCUUUCUAUUAUGUCAGAUUGCCCAACUUUCUGAUUGAUUGUUAAGAGGUUCAGAGUUUAGAUUGAUAUUCUGAGGCAGUUGUUCUACUACUACCUUAUACAUUGAGAAAAAGAAAUAAGAACCACAUGCUACGCAUUGAUACCAUUUAAGUGUAGGAAACAAGUUUUGAUAGAUCACUUGAUGCCAGAUUGGUGGACAUUAGAGGUAAUCUCAAAAUAAGUUUCUCAGAGUGGGCAAAUGUUUUCUUUUUUGGGUUGUUUUAUUAUUUAAAGCAGACUGCUAUAUGUUUGAUGAUAAGACAAAAAUGGUCCUCUUUUGUUAAACUGAGUAUUCUAGUAUGUAUUCGGCGAAAAUUGUUCUGGGUACUAUCUUAUUUUGAGUUCUUUCUGUUAGGUUGUCGCAAAAAAUGCACGUUUUGAACAAAGAUGGAGGAGCAGAAAGGGAGACAAAGGAACAUCACAUGAGAAAUUACAUGAAAUGUGUCAUUUCUUUGAUGUUAUUCUUGUUGACGUCGAGGAAAGAUCUAAUGAGUUGCGACAGGAGGAGUUAGUUCUCAACAUGAGCUCUUGCCCUUUCGUAUUUCCUAGAGUCUAGUUGAAAAUGAUACUCCCUAUGAUUUUAAUGCAGUGAGAUAUCUUUGGAGGGCCAGAGGAUGUUGAAUAGUUACUUACCUCUACUGAGAGAGUUCAUUCCAAGUGCUACUUCGGAGAUUGAAUCAGAUUUAUCUGCUAACAGCACCAAACAAGGUUGUUUUUUCACAUGUAAUUGACUAGUCUUUGUUAUGUCUGUAUAUAAAAAUGGGGUUGGUGGCUUUUGCAACCCAGUUCAUAUAUCAUUGCUCUGGUCUAUUAUUUGGGGAAAUUGACUUAUAGUAUCAAUGUAGUAUCCCUGGAUCAGCAUCUUUCUUUUGAACCUAAAUGGAGCUCUUUGCAUAGUUAUUGUAAUCAGGUUGAAUUUAACAAAUUACUCACCAUGGUGAUAUGAAGCAAAAGCACGCCAUGAUCUGUUGGAUUUGAAGUAUGCUUACCUGAGCCUCCUACAAUAUCAUGUGAUAAUUUGUCUGCAUUGGCUCUUAGUUCUAAUCCUAUAUAUCACUCACGCAUCAAGCACCUCGACAUUGAUUUCCAUUUCGUGCGCGAAAGGGUGCAAAGGAAUGAUCUUACUGUCCAGUAUAUUCCUACUGAAGAACAAGUAGCUGAUGUCUUUACUAAAGGACUACAUAGUCCUGUUUUCUUGAGUCAUUGUGCAAACAUGAGGCUGGGCAACCUAGAGCUGGGUUUGAGGGGGAAUGAUAACAGUAAUAGUUAGCUAAGAGUUUGUUAGUGUUGGCACGUGUGGCUCACAUGUCACAGCUGUAAUUAGUUAGUCUGUUAAGCGUUAGUUAUAGGCUAAACAUCUUAUAUAAAACACAAUCUCUCUGUAAUUGUUCAUACGAUUGAAAAUCAAAGAAAG
rnacentral:lncRNA from 1 species